GUGCUGGCUUCGGCAGCACAUCUACUAGAACUGGAACGAUACAGAGAAGAUUAGCAUCUUACACAAGGAUGACAUGCAAAUUCAUGAAGUGUUCCGUACUUUU
ensembl:snRNA U6 U6 spliceosomal RNA